rnacentral:rRNA from 1 species
UACGAAGGGGGCUAGCGUUGCUCGGAAUCACUGGGCGUAAAGGGUGCGUAGGCGGGUCUUUAAGUCAGGGGUGAAAUCCUGGAGCUCAACUCCAGAACUGCCUUUGAUACUGAGGAUCUUGAGUUCGGGAGAGGUGAGUGGGAACUGCGAGUGUAGAGGUGAAAUUCGUAGAUAUUAGGAAGAACACCAGUGGCGAAGGCGGCUCACUGGCCCGGUACUGACGCUGAGGCGCGAAAGCGAUGGGGAGCAAACGGG